rnacentral:rRNA from 1 species
GAUGAACGCUGGCGGCGUGCCUAAUACAUGCAAGUCGAGCGAACAGACGAGGAGCUUGCUCCUCUGACGUUAGCGGCGGACGGGUGAGUAACACGUGGAUAACCUACCUAUAAGACUGGGAUAACUUCGGGAAACCGGAGCUAAUACCGGAUAAUAUAUUGAACCGCAUGGUUCAAUAGUGAAAGACGGUUUUGCUGUCACUUAUAGAUGGAUCCGCGCCGCAUUAGCUAGUUGGUAAGGUAACGGCUUACCAAGGCAACGAUGCGUAGCCGACCUGGGAGGGUGAUCGGCCACACUGGGACUGAGACACGGUCCAGACUCCUACGGGAGGCAGCAGUAGGGAAUCUUCCGCAAUGGGCGAAAGCCUGACGGAUCAACGCCGCGUGAGUGAUGAAGGUCUUCGGAUCGUAAAACUCUGUUAUUAGGGAAGAACAAAUGUGUAAGUAACUAUGCACGUCUUGACGGUACCUAAUCAGAAAGCCACGGCUAACUACGUG